rnacentral:rRNA from 1 species
UUUGGUUAAGUUAGAAAGGGCGCACGGUGGAUGCCUUGACACUAGGAGUCGAUGAAGGACGGGACUAACGCCGAUAUGCUUCGGGGAGCUGUAAGUAAGCUUUGAUCCGAAGAUUUCCGAAUGGGGAAACCCACCAUACGUAAUGGUAUGGUAUCCUUAUCUGAAUACAUAGGGUAAGGAAGACAGACCCAGGGAACUGAAACAUCUAAGUACCUGGAGGAAGAGAAAGCAAAUGCGAUUUCCUGAGUAGCGGCGAGCGAAACGGAAUAUAGCCCAAACCAAGAGGCUUGCCUCUUGGGGUUGUAGGACAUUCUAUACGGAGUUACAAAGGAACGAGGUAGACGAAGCGACCUGGAAAGGUCCGUCGUAGAGGGUAACAACCCCGUAGUCGAAACUUCGUUCUCUCUUGAAUGUAUCCUGAGUACGGCGGAACACGUGAAAUUCCGUCGGAAUCUGGGAGGACCAUCUCCCAAGGCUAAAUACUCCCUAGUGAUCGAUAGUGAACCAGUACCGUGAGGGAAAGGUGAAAAGCACCCCGGAAGGGGAGUGAAAGAGAUCCUGAAACCGUGUGCCUACAAAUAGUCAGAGCCCGUUAACGGGUGAUGGCGUGCCUUUUGUAGAAUGAACCGGCGAGUUACGAUCCCGUGCGAGGUUAAGCUGAAGAGGCGGAGCCGCAGCGAAAGCGAGUCUGAAUAGGGCGUUUAGUACGUGGUCGUAGACCCGAAACCAGGUGAUCUACCCAUGUCCAGGGUGAAGUUCAGGUAACACUGAAUGGAGGCCCGAACCCACGCACGUUGAAAAGUGCGGGGAUGAGGUGUGGGUAGCGGAGAAAUUCCAAUCGAACCUGGAGAUAGCUGGUUCUCCCCGAAAUAGCUUUAGGGCUAGCCUUAAGUGUAAGAGUCUUGGAGGUAGAGCACUGAUUGGACUAGGGGUCCUCAUCGGAUUACCGAAUUCAGUCAAACUCCGAAUGCCAAUGACUUAUCCUUAGGAGUCAGACUGCGAGUGAUAAGAUCCGUAGUCAAAAGGGAAACAGCCCAGACCGCCAGCUAAGGUCCCAAAGUGUGUAUUAAGUGGAAAAGGAUGUGGAGUUGCUUAGACAACUAGGAUGUUGGCUUAGAAGCAGCCACCAUUUAAAGAGUGCGUAAUAGCUCACUAGUCGAGUGACUCUGCGCCGAAAAUGUACCGGGGCUAAAUACACCACCGAAGCUGCGGAUUGAUACCAAUGGUAUCAGUGGUAGGGGAGCGUUCUAAGGACAGUGAAGUCAGACCGUAAGGACUGGUGGAGUGCUUAGAAGUGAGAAUGCCGGUAUGAGUAGCGAAAGACGGGUGAGAAUCCCGUCCACCGAAUGCCUAAGGUUUCCUGAGGAAGGCUCGUCCGCUCAGGGUUAGUCAGGACCUAAGCCGAGGCCGACAGGCGUAGGCGAUGGACAACAGGUUGAUAUUCCUGUACCACCUCUUUAUCGUUUGAGCAAUGGAGGGACGCAGAAGGAUAGAAGAAGCGUGCGAUUGGUUGUGCACGUCCAAGCAGUUAGGCUGAUAAGUAGGCAAAUCCGCUUAUCGUGAAGGCUGAGCUGUGAUGGGGAAGCUCCUUAUGGAGCGAAGUCUUUGAUUCCCCGCUGCCAAGAAAAGCUUCUAGCGAGAUAAAAGGUGCCUGUACCGCAAACCGACACAGGUAGGCGAGGAGAGAAUCCUAAGGUGUGCGAGAGAACUCUGGUUAAGGAACUCGGCAAAAUGACCCCGUAACUUCGGGAGAAGGGGUGCUUUCUUAACGGAAAGCCGCAGUGAAUAGGCCCAAGCGACUGUUUAGCAAAAACACAGCUCUCUGCGAAGCCGUAAGGCGAAGUAUAGGGGGUGACACCUGCCCGGUGCUGGAAGGUUAAGGAGAGGGGUUAGCGUAAGCGAAGCUCUGAACUGAAGCCCCAGUAAACGGCGGCCGUAACUAUAACGGUCCUAAGGUAGCGAAAUUCCUUGUCGGGUAAGUUCCGACCCGCACGAAAGGUGUAACGAUUUGGGCACUGUCUCAACCAGAGACUCGGUGAAAUUAUAGUACCUGUGAAGAUGCAGGUUACCCGCGACAGGACGGAAAGACCCCGUGGAGCUUUACUGUAGCCUGAUAUUGAAUUUUGGUACAGUUUGUACAGGAUAGGCGGGAGCCAUUGAAACCGGAGCGCUAGCUUCGGUGGAGGCGCUGGUGGGAUACCGCCCUGACUGUAUUGAAAUUCUAACCUACGGGUCUUAUCGACCCGGGAGACAGUGUCAGGUGGGCAGUUUGACUGGGGCGGUCGCCUCCUAAAGUGUAACGGAGGCGCCCAAAGGUUCCCUCAGAAUGGUUGGAAAUCAUUCGUAGAGUGCAAAGGCAUAAGGGAGCUUGACUGCGAGACCUACAAGUCGAGCAGGGACGAAAGUCGGGCUUAGUGAUCCGGUGGUUCCGCAUGGAAGGGCCAUCGCUCAACGGAUAAAAGCUACCCCGGGGAUAACAGGCUUAUCUCCCCCAAGAGUCCACAUCGACGGGGAGGUUUGGCACCUCGAUGUCGGCUCAUCGCAUCCUGGGGCUGUAGUCGGUCCCAAGGGUUGGGCUGUUCGCCCAUUAAAGCGGUACGCGAGCUGGGUUCAGAACGUCGUGAGACAGUUCGGUCCCUAUCCGUCGUGGGCGUAGGAAAUUUGAGAGGAGCUGUCCUUAGUACGAGAGGACCGGGAUGGACGCACCGCUGGUGUACCAGUUGUUCUGCCAAGGGCAUAGCUGGGUAGCUAUGUGCGGAAGGGAUAAGUGCUGAAAGCAUCUAAGCAUGAAGCCCCCCUCAAGAUGAGAUUUCCCAUAGCGUAAGCUAGUAAGAUCCCUGAAAGAUGAUCAGGUUGAUAGGUUCGAGGUGGAAGCAUGGUGACAUGUGGAGCUGACGAAUACUAAUAGAUCGAGGACUUAACCAUAUAA